CAGUACCUCACACAGCAGUACAGAGAGGUAACACACAGGACCUCACACAGCAGUACAGAGAGGUAACACACAGGACCUCACACAGCAGUACAGAGAGGUAACACACAGUACCUCACACAGCAGUACAGAGAGGUAACACACAGGACCUCACACAGCAGUACAGGGAGGUAACACAGUACCUCACACAGCAGUACAGAGAGGUAACACACAGGACCUCACACAGCAGUACAGAGAGGUAACACACAGUACCUCACACAGCAGUACAGGGAGGUAACACAGUACCUCACACAGCAGUACAGAGAGGUAACACAGGACCUCACACAGCAGUACAGAGAGGUAACACA